UACAGAGGUCCCAAGCGUUGUUCGGAUUCACUGGGCGUAAAGGGUGCGUAGGUGGCUUGGAAAGUUUGAUGUGAAAGCUCAGGGCUUAACCCUGAAAUGGCAUUGAGUACUAUCGAGCUGGAGGUUUGGAGGGGGGACUGGAAUUCUUGGUGUAGCAGUGAAAUGCGUAGAUAUCAAGAGGAACACCAGUGGCGAAGGCGAGUCCCUGGACAACACCUGACACUGAGGCACGAAAGCCGGGGGAGCAAACAGG
rnacentral:rRNA from 1 species